GUAGUCUCGCACAGAUGCAUAUCAAUAAGCGGAGGAAAAGAAACUAACAAGGAUUCCCUCAGUAACGGCGAGUGAAGCGGGAAGAGCUCAAAUUUGAAAUCUUGAAAGGUCACCUUUCACGAAUUGUAGUUUAAAGAAGUGUUUUCUGUUACGAUCGUAAUAUAAGUUCUUUGGAAUAGGACAUCACAGAGGGUGAGAAUCCCGUCUAUGAUUGCGAUUUGUAGCUUUGUGAUACACUUUCAAAGAGUCGGGUUGUUUGGGAAUGCAGCCCAAAACGGGAGGUAAAUUUCUUCUAAGGCUAAAUAUUGGCGAGAGACCGAUAGCGAACAAGUACCGUGAGGGAAAGAUGAAAAGAACUUUGGAAAAGAGAGUUAAAUAGUACGUGAAAUUGUCAAAAGGGAAGCGUUUAACACCAGUGUUGUUUUCUGAAAAUCAACCUCUGUUAGCUUUAUGCAUGUUUGUUUAGACCUAAUCAGCUAUCUUGCAUGUUCUAUUGUUUGCAGUGGUGCACUUUUCAGUUUACAGGUCAACAUCAGUUUUUUUUACCGUAAAAAAGUUAAAGAAAGGUAGCUCAUGGCUCCGGUCGUGAGUGUUAUAGUCUUUUUCCUAUGCGGUAGGAGAGACUGAGGUCUGCAGUGUAGGCUAUUUGGCUAGAUACUCAGGUGCUAUGUGAUACCAUUUCAUAAACAACUUGUUGAUUAUGUUUUGUCUAUUGCAUACUCGCUUGUACUAUCAUACCUACGCUUAGGAUGUUGAGUCGUAGAGCACGCAG
rnacentral:rRNA from 1 species